rnacentral:rRNA from 1 species
UUUGAUCAUGGCUCAAAACGAACGCUGGCGGCAGGCUUAACACAUGCAAGUCGAGCGCCCCGCAGGGGGAGCGGCAAACGGGUGAGUAACGCGUGGGAAUCUACCCAUCACUACGGAACAACUCCGGGAAACUGGAGCUAAUACCGUAUACUUCCUUCGGGAGAAAGAUUUAUCGGUGAUGGAUGAGCCCGCGUUGGAUUAGCUAGUUGGUGGGGUAAUGGCCUACCAAGGCGACAAUCCAUAGCUGGUCUGAGAGGAUGAUCAGCCACACUGGGACUGAAACACGGCCCAAACUCCUACGGGAGGCAGCAGUGGGGAAUAUUGGACAAUGGGCGCAAGCCUGAUCCAGCCAUGCCGCGUGAGUGAUGAAGGCCCUAGGGUUGUAAAGCUCUUUCAACGGUGAAAAUAAUGACGGUAACCGUAAAAAAAGCCCCGGCUAACUUCGUG